AGAGUUUGAUCCUGGCUCAGAACGAACGCUGGCGGCAUGCCUAACACAUGCAAGUCGAACGAGACCUUCGGGUCUAGUGGCGCACGGGUGCGUAACGCGUGGGAACCUGCCCUUUGGUUCGGAAUAACCAGGAGAAAUCCUGGCUAAUACCGGACGAUGACGUAAGUCCAAAGAUUUAUCGCCAAGGGAUGGGCCCGCGUAGGAUUAGCUAGUUGGUGAGGUAAAGGCUCACCAAGGCGACGAUCCUUAGCUGGUCUGAGAGGAUGAUCAGCCACACUGGACUGAGACACGGCCCAGACUCCUACGGGAGGCAGCAGUGGGGAAUAUUGGACAAUGGGCGAAAGCCUGAUCCAGCAAUGCCGCGUGAGUGAUGAAGGCCUUAGGGUUGUAAAGCUCUUUUACCCGGGAUGAUAAUGACAGUACCGGGAGAAUAAGCCCCGGCUAACUCCGUGCCAGCAGCCGCGGUAAUACGGAGGGGGCUAGCGUUGUUCGGAAUUACUGGGCGUAAAGCGCACGUAGGCGGCUUUGUAAGUUAGAGGUGAAAGCCCGGGGCUCAACUCCGGAAUUGCCUUUAAGACUGCAUCGCUUGAACACGGGAGAGGUGAGUGGAAUUGCGAGUGUAGAUGUGAAUUUCGUAGAUAUUCGGAAGAACACCAGUGGCGAAGGCGGCUCACUGGACCGGUUGUUGACGCUGAUGGUGCGAAAGCGUGGGGGAGCAAACANG
rnacentral:rRNA from 1 species